GACGAACGCUGGCGGCGUGCUUAACACAUGCCAGUCGAACGGAAAGGCCCUGCUUUUGUGGGGUGCUCGAGUGGCGAAAGGGUGAGUAACCCGUGAGUAACCUGCCCUUGACUUUGGGAUAACUUCAGGAAACUGGGGCUAAUACCGGAUAGGAGCUCCUGCUGCAUGGUGGGGGUUGGAAAGUUUCGGCGGUUGGGGAUGGACUCGCGGCUUAUCAGCUUGUUGGUGGGGUAGUGGCUUACCAAGGCUUUGACGGGUAGCCGGCCUGAGAGGGUGACCGGCCACAUUGGGACUGAGAUACGGCCCAGACUCCUACGGGAGGCAGCAGUGGGGAAUAUUGCACAAUGGGCGGAAGCCUGAUGCAGCAACGCCGCGUGCGGGAUGACGGCCUUCGGGUUGUAAACCGCUUUCGCCUGUGACGAAGCGUGAGUGACGGUAAUGGGUAAAGAAGCACCGGCUAACUACGUG
rnacentral:rRNA from 1 species